rnacentral:rRNA from 1 species
UACGGGGGGAGCAAGCGUUGUUCGGAUUUACUGGGCGUAAAGGGCUCGUAGGUGGCCAACUAAGUCAGACGUGAAAUCCCUCAGCUUAACUGGGGAACUGCGUCUGAUACUGGAUGGCUUGAGUUUGGGAGAGGGAUGCGGAAUUCCAGGUGUAGCGGUGAAAUGCGUAGAUAUCUGGAGGAACACCGGUGGCGAAGGCGGCAUCCUGGACCAACACUGACACUGAUGAGCGAAAGCCAGGGGAGCAACGGG